rnacentral:rRNA from 1 species
UUUGAUCCUGGCUUCAGGAAGGAACGGCUGGCGGCAUGCCUAAUACAUGCAAGUCGAACGCUGAAGCACUCUGCUUGCAGAGUGCGGAUGAGUGGCGAACGGGUGAGUAACACGUGGGGAAUCUGCCUAGGAGUGGGGGAUAACAUUCGGAAACGGAUGCUAAUACCGCAUAUCUUCAUAGACCGCAUGGUCUAUGAAUGAAAGACGGCUUUGCUGUCGCUCUUAGAUGAUCCCGCGGCGUAUUAGUUAGUUGGUGGGGUAAAGGCCUACCAAGACAAUGAUACGUAGCCGACCUGAGAGGGUGAUCGGCCACACUGGGACUGAGACACGGCCCAGACUCCUACGGGAGGCAGCAGUAGGGAAUCUUCCACAAUGGGUGCAAACCUGAUGGAGCAAUGCCGCGUGAAUGAAGAAGGUCUUCGGAUCGUAAAGUUCUGUUAUUAGUGAAGAACAAAUCGAGGAAUAACUGUCUCGAUUUUGACGGUAACUAACCAGAAAGUCACGGCUAACUACGUGCCAGCAGCCGCGGUAAUACGUAGGUGACAAGCGUUGUCCGGAAUUAUUGGGCGUAAAGGGAGCGCAGACGGUUGGAAUAGUCUGAUGUGAAAGCCCACGGCUUAACCGUGGAAGGUCAUUGGAAACUGUCCAACUUGAAUGCAGAAGAGGUAAGUGGAAUUCCAUGUGUAGCGGUGAAAUGCGUAGAUAUAUGGAGGAACACCAGUGGCGAAGGCGACUUACUGGUCUGUGAUUGACGCUGAGGCUCGAAAGCGUGGGUGGCGAACAGGAUUAGAUACCCUGGUAGUCCACGCCGUAAACGAUGAGUGCUAAGUGUUGGAGGGUUUCCGCCCUUCAGUGCUGGAGUUAACGCA